UGAUUUGCCAGAGGACAUGGGGGAAACUCUGCAGAGCUGGUGUUAGCCCCGGAAUGCAGCGUAAGAAAGGCUGACUGCUUCGCUGGUUGAUGCAUGCUGUCAACUUUCCUCAGACACUUCCGGUCAGCUUCCUAGCAUGGUGAGUGAUAGGAAUUCCAACCAUGCCCUCACAGUUGUGCAAGCCGGGACCCAGGAAUGAGAAGGAAAACAUCGGAGCAGUCACACAUCCUGAGAUCAGUCAAGGAGCAAAGGACCUUCCACCUCCGUUUAUGUGGGGUGCCUGGUUGUUGGCACUGGGCAGCUGUUGGGAGAUCACGGUGUAAUGGGAUCCAUGGCUGGGGGUGCUGCUAGGGGACAGGUGCAAAAUCAGCACAUGCUCAUUGCCUUUUGUAGGGGAUGCCUAAUCCCGGUGGCUAGGUGGUCUGCAAGACGAAAUUACUAUGGAGAUCUGGGAAAUAAAUUCCUUAGUCUAUUCUGUUUUUCUCUUUUCUCUUCUUCUCUUCCUACUUUCCCUCAUUCCUUCUUCUCAUUCAUCCAUCCAUCAUGUUGUUCAGAAAAGAACCCUGCUGUACUUCCAAAUACGUGGAGAUUUAUACAUUCUCUAGGUAGGUAGACGAGGAAAGAACAUCGCAGGAUACUAACAAUGGCUCAGUGUGUGUGUUCAUGUGUG